CGUAGGGUGCGAGCGUUAAUCGGAAUUACUGGGCGUAAAGCGUGCGCAGGCGGUUAUAUAAGACAGGUGUGAAAUCCCCGGGCUCAACCUGGGAACUGCAUUUGUGACUGUAUAGCUAGAGUACGGCAGAGGGGGAUGGAAUUCCGCGUGUAGCAGUGAAAUGCGUAGAUAUGCGGAGGAACACCGAUGGCGAAGGCAAUCCCCUGGGCCUGUACUGACGCUCAUGCACGAAAGCGUGGGGAGCAAACAGGAUUAGAUACCCUGGUAGUCCACGCCCUAAACGAUGUCAACUGGUUGUUGGGUCUUCACUGACUCAGUAACGAAGCUAACGCGUGAAGUUGACCGCCUGGGGAGUACGGCCGCAAGGUUG
rnacentral:rRNA from 1 species